UGCCUGGCCUCUCCCUGUUGCUGGAGG
rnacentral:misc_RNA from 1 species